CGUCAACCAUCCAGCUGUUUGA
rnacentral:miRNA from 2 species